UACGGAGGGGGCUAGCGUUGUUCGGAAUUACUGGGCGUAAAGCGCACGUAGGCGGAUCAGCAAGUUAGGGGUGAAAUCCCGGGGCUCAACCCCGGAACUGCCUUUAAGACUGUUGGUCUGGAGUCCGAGAGAGGUGAGUGGAAUUCCGAGUGUAGAGGUGAAAUUCGUAGAUAUUCGGAGGAACACCAGUGGCGAAGGGCGGCUCACUGGCUCGGUACUGACGCUGAGGUGCGAAAGCGUGGGGAGCAAACAGG
rnacentral:rRNA from 1 species